rnacentral:rRNA from 1 species
GUAGCCCUCUCAAGUAGUGGCAGUGGACGGCCGCCGCUGACGAGGGUCUACCGAAGGGACGAGUAUGGCGACGACCCGGCGCACCGCCGGUUCCGGCCGCUGCGCGACCAUCGGCUCAACGACGCCCGCACCCCCGACCUGUUCCGGGCGGCCUUCGAACUCGCGGUGGAGCGGCGGCAGGUCACGUAGGACGAGCUGCGGCUGCGGUUCUCGGCGUGGUUGGGGCGGCAGUCGGCCACCCAGUUCCUGGAGUUCUGACGGCGGAUGGUCCGGCUGCUGCAGGAGCUGCCGAAGGCGAUGCUCCGCGACGCGGCGGCACGGUGGCGGGUCAAGGUGGCGACGAGGUGCCGUGCGUUCCACGACCCGAUAAAGUGUCGGCUGUCGGGCGAAGAAAAGGCAGAAAGGUACUCAUCCUUCUACUUCCUACGGGAACUCUACUAUCUACUUGACCAACGCCUCUACUUGUUAAAGGUGAAGGAUGUUGCAUGGCUCCGUGGUUGGUAACAGGUAGGCGUUUGUGUAAGAACACAGCUACUUAGUCUCUAGUAGCCGUCUGUUCUGCUGUUCCUUGUUCACCACUUCUAUAACGAGCUGGUGAGGUUGUUGUCAUUACUACCUGUAUUACAGUGCCACGAGGGGUAUCAACCGUACCCCCCUUAGCCAUUCUGGUGGGAACGAGUUGAACACGUGUUACUGGUCUCUCACUACGUAGUAAAACUCAACCACUAUACCUAGACACAGAGACUGUUCAAACGAUAGCUUCCUUAUUAGGCUAGAUAUUAUCUUAACCGGUGUGACUUCUUCACACCAAACUGAGUCUGGCUCCGUGACGUGUUCCUCGAAUCAGCCCACAACCCGUUCUUUUCCAUGGAGGACCACGACCUACUACAAACCUUACUUCUAUCUGUUUUCACCCUGCUAUACUCUAGUCACAACACGAGUGUACGACCGGAUCCAUCACAAUAUUAACACUGUUCGGCGUCGCUCGUUCAACGAAGAUAGUACCCGUGUGAAGGAGGUGUAGUCUAUAGUGAAGAUUUGCUCCUAGUUAGUACCCUCGAAAAAGUGUUCUUGUGUAAACCUUCCCUUCGUCUUUUCGUUCUCCUUAAUCAAAGUUACCGAUUUUCAUAAGAGGUGUUCACAUUCCCUAACGGAGAGCGAUAGUUCUGGUAUCGUCGAAAUGAAGCAAGCUUCGUAGUUUCAGUCACCAAAAGACAAAACCUAUCACUACAGACCUUCUUACUGUAGGAGCGUCGACCCUAACAUGGACGUGAUGUCGAUUCGAUACUAGUGAACAGUAGUCUUCGUUUUCAUACAAAAAAGGAAGACACGAUAAAAGGGGUUCCUAUCGGGCUACCUAUUUCUGUACAAUUAGGUCAAUACCUACCGUUUACUGAAAUAAGGUAGUCUUUGUUCUCCGGUUGUUUAAAAGCUACACGAUCAAACCUCUACAAAGGAGGUUCUACACCUCUAAGUUCUCUUAGAUUAGAGAUUUAAAGUUCUACCCAAGUAGGUGGCUGGUUGAUGAACGUUCUACGUACUAGAGUACGUACUAGAACGACUCAAGUAUUCACCUUUACUAACGAGGUAAGAUGUUCUUAGAAGUAGUACGGUUCUUUAAGACGUUCCUAGUUGUCUAUCAAGUAAUGUCGUGCUUCAAGCUGUAAACAGUGAAAUAAUACAGAAACCAUUAUGAUAACGUCAGUACCUCCUGUAACAUCGAGGGGCUGAGGCGUGUAAUAAUUAGGUUUUCCUCAACCUCGUCUAAGUCUGAGGAAAAUCAUACCGGUUCAGUUUUAAACACAGGAAUGCUCGUAACUUCUGUAAGAGUUAGUUCUGUGUAUACUGUUUGAAUUUCGUAGAAGCGAUAAAUCUGACAAGAAUAAGACUAUAUAAACGUGAUGGACUUCGGUGAUGGUACAACAUAUCGAACGUUUGUAACUUCGAGUAACCAACACUUUUUGAAUUCUUUAAUGGACUUCCGUACUCUAUAUACUCAUCAGAGGCCGUGUAGAAGGAGUAACCCACACUAUCAAACCUCGCGUACGGUGUCCCAUAACCAGUCGACUUAAGAGAUGUUUGUAACUGUUCAAUACAGUAACUAUCACUACGUCCCGCACCUUAACUAGUUGAGUUUAUAAACUUAGAUCCACCGCGGGAAAGAAACUGACUCGACUCUUUUCACGUAUCACGUCUUUUACGAUUUGUUCCGUCGUAGAGAUGGUUCGUAUUAAACUUUGCUAACAGUGAGCUAACCCUUUUACCUGGAAGAAGAUCGUGUGUACGACCUAUACUUCAUGCAUUACUACGUCUUCCUUAUAAUCUCCGGGAAGCAGGAGUGUUUUCCGAACUUCAAAAUGACAAUAGAUUAAUAUAACCACGGUUUAAGGGUAGUACCUACGUGUUGAGAUGUGACAAUCUUGUAGAGUCACUUGAAAGAGACUCACCUACGUACUUGACGUUCCUAGAAGGGGGUAAUACCGAUGACGGGAGAGAACCCAUGAACCCAAACCUACCAAACCUAUCGAACUGUUCAUAUAUACAACCAUUGCUACUAUGUUUGUUACACCUUAGGGCAUAAAGAGGUAGUGGGAAGAAAUUAUUUAACCUUUGGUACUAUCAGUGGUUGUACGGAUUCGAUCUCUCUACCGUGGUCCUCCACUGUCCUGUUCAUCGCCAACAUAGUAAGGGAGUCGAAUUCUUCGAUUGAUAAAGACUUACGGGUUACGAUCGUUCGUACGGGUUCUACGAGGGAAACGAACUUCUAGAUGAUCACUUCCUCCGUUCACUGUAGGGAGAAAUAGUAGACUACUUAGACCGACGCGUUAGGUUAGAACUCACAUUUCCGCUGUAAAGCCACCUUGGAUGUCAACCAACCGACGGACAACCAACGGAAGUAAAGAGCUCCGAACCACUGAGACUGCACUUUGACUCUGAGGUACUAAACUCCCUUUUACAACUCACGAAACUUCUCCUCGACUUUUAUUAUGGAUCGUCUAAAUAGUUCUUGGAAUAAUAUAGCCCAAGGCUGACAGAAAAGAGUAGACUUGGUAGGGUUUAUGUUGCCUUAUAUACCUUAGUAAAACCAAAAUACCUAGAACUUUCAUACACCUAUACGUUGUUAUUAUAUCAUGUUACCGGUCGUCAUCUUAACUCUUUGAACUUAGAAGAAGCUGUAGACGUGAACAGAACAACAAGGUUGAAUUGACCAAGUGAGGGCAGUUGUUAUACGCUACUGCUUCUACAGUACGGAGGGGCUGAAGUCAAAGAAGAUUAUAGUAUAACACUUUUAAACCACCUCUAUGGUUUCAACGUGCGCAGAGAACUUUGAAACAAGAAGUGGACAACAGGGUUCGACCAUAGGUACGGUUGGUUAGAACCGUUGUAAUUUUUUAACCCACACCUACUCACACUUCGGGAUUGCUGUAAAGGUCUACCUUAGAUACCUCAGUGGCGUGACUGUUAACUAGCCACGGGUUCUCAUCUCUGUGACGGUCUCCCUGAGGACGUCGUCGAGGGUUGGGAGCUCCUUGAUACACAGUGUCUGACGGGUUUGAACGUCCUCCGGAAGAGUUCUCCUCCGCGAAUGACCUUAAACCAACUUAAUUAAGGUGCCUCUUGUCAACCGAACUUGACUAUGAAUCAACGGAAGUUGGCCCUACGACCACGACCACGAACACAUACGGCCGGAGUACCCCAAUACGCAAGGUAACACAACCUGAUGAAGCAGCUGACGGUGAUGAGAGACGGACUACUGGCCAAUACCCGUGGUCGCUCCCCUGUGAUCCAAUGAAGGGACACUUUUUGCUAGGACGCCCUCGCUAACCAAACCAUCUCCGACAGGACCUUCCUCCGGUGUGUCCCCAAUAGUCACAUCUUUAACAUCUUAGGAUUAUAAGCAACAUAACUAGACUGGGAACACAUCUCAUAUAUAUCCUCAUGUACACUCCCUCUCUCUGAACCUCAUGUCCCGUUCAGCAUGUACAAAUUUGCAUAAGAUAGAACUUGAGAAUAGAGAAAGAAUCUGUGAUAAUAUGAACAUUGUUAGUCCUGGUAUACGGG